rnacentral:misc_RNA from 1 species
UCCUCUUUACAGAGGCAGUUUGUCUCGAGUUCCCGACUCUACUCGCUGGUAACAAGACAUGAGGGUUGCGCUCGUUGCGGGACUUAACCCAACAUUUCACAACACGAGCUGACGACAGCCAUGCACCACCUGUGGAACACCCUCUAAGGCGAGUGGCUUUCACCACCUUGCAGUUCCAUGUCAAGCCCUGGUAAGGUUCUUCGCGUUGCAUCGAAUUAAGCCACAUGCUCCACCGCUUGUGCGGGCCCCCGCCAAUUCCUUUGAGUUUCAACCUUGCGGCCGUAGUCCCCAGGCGGUUCACUUAAUGCGUUAGCUGCGGCACCGAGGGAAACCCCCGACACCUAGUGAACAUAGUUUAGGGCCAAGACUAC